CCUACUCGGGGCACCGGGAUACCCGCUGGGAAACUGCGGCUAAUCCCGGAUGGGCGAGGAGGCUUGGAACACUUUCUCGUCGAAAGGCCGGGUUGACGAUGCUUAGCCCGGCGGCCCCGAAUGGGACCACGGCCGAUCAGGUUGUUGGUGAGGUAACGGCUCACCAAGCCUAAGACCGGUACGGGCCCUGAGAGGGGGAGCCCGGAGAUGGGGACUGAGACAAGGCCCCAGGCCCUACGGGGCGCAGCAGGUACGAAACUUUUGCAAUGCGCGAAAGCGUGACAAAGUCAUCCCGAGUGCCACCCGCUGAGGGUGGCUUUUCCACAGUCUAAAAAGCUGUGGGAAUAAGGGGAGGGUAAGUCGGGUGUCAGCCGCCGCGGUAAUACCCGCUCCCCGAGUGGUGGGGGCUUUUACUGAGCUUAAAGCGCCCGUAGCCGGUCAUGCGUGUCUCCAGUUAAAUCCAGCAGCCUAACUGCUGGGCCGCUGGAGAUACUGUAUGACUUGGAGGCGGGAGAGGCUACCGGUAGUCCCGGGGUAGGAGUGAAAUCCUCUGAACCCGGGAGGACGUGCAGUGGCGAAGGCGGGUAGCCAGAACGCGCUCGACGGUGAGGGGCGAAAGCUGGGGGAGCGAACCGGAUUAGAUACCCGGGUAGUCCCAGCUGUAAACGAUGCGGGCUAGGUGUCGAUGCGGGUACGGCCUGCACCGGUGCCGCAGGGAAA
rnacentral:rRNA from 1 species